rnacentral:rRNA from 1 species
GAUGAACGCUAGCGGCAGGCCUAACACAUGCAAGUCGAGGGAGAAGCCCUUCGGGGCAGAAACCGGCGCACGGGUGCGUAACGCGUAUGCAACCUACCUUUCACAGGGGGAUAGCCCGAAGAAAUUUGGAUUAAUACCCCAUAAUAUUAUUGGAUGGCAUCAUUUGAUAAUUAAAACUGAGGUGGUGAAAGAUGGGCAUGCGUCCUAUUAGCUAGUUGGAGUGGUAACGGCACCCCAAGGCUACGAUAGGUAGGGGUCCUGAGAGGGAGAUCCCCCACACUGGUACUGAGACAGGGACCAGACUCCUACGGGAGGCAGCAGUGAGGAAUAUUGGUCAAUGGUCGGAAGACUGAACCAGCCAUGCCGCGUGCAGGAAGAAUGCCUUAUGGGUUGUAAACUGCUUUUAUAUGGGAAGAAUAAGG